UUUCCGGUUGAUCCCGCCGGACCUGACUGCUAUCGGAUUGAUACUAAGCCAUGCGAGUCUUUGUAGUAAUACAAGGCAUACGGCUCAGUAACACGUAGUCAACCUACCCUAUGGACAAGAAUAAUCUCGGGAAACUGGGCAUAAUUCUUGAUAGAUCAUAAUGCCUGGAAUGGUUUAUGGUUAAAAUGAUUCGUCGCCAUAGGAUGGGACUGCGGCCUAUCAGCUUGUUGGUGAGGUAAUGGCCCACCAAGGCGAUUACAGGUACGGGCUCUGGGAGGAGAAGCCCGGAGAUGGGUACUGAGACACGGACCCAGGCCCUAUGGGGCGCAGCAGGCGAGAAAACUUUGCAAUGUGCGAAAGCACGACAAGGUUAAUCCGAGUGAUUUCUGCUAAAGAAAUCUUUUGCCAGUCAUAAAACCACUGGUGAAUAAGGGGUGGGCAAGUUCUGGUGUCAGCCGCCGCGGUAAAACCAGCACCUCAAGUGGUCAGGAUGAUUAUUGGGCCUAAAGCAUCCGUAGCCGGCUUUGUAAGUUUUCGGUUAAAUCCAUGUGCUCAACACAUGGGCUGCCGAAAAUACUGCAUGGCUAGGGAGUGGGAGAGGUAGACGGUACUCAGUAGGAAGGGGUAAAAUCCUUUGAUCUAUUGAUGACCACCUGUGGCGAAGGCGGUCUACCAGAACACGUUCGACGGUGAGGGAUGAAAGCUGGGGGAGCAAACCGGAUUAGAUACCCGGGUAGUCCCAGCUGUAAACGAUGCAGACUCGAUGAUGCAUUGGCAUAAUAGCCAAUGCAGUGUCGCAGGGAAGCCGUUAAGUCUGCCGCCUGGGAAGUACGUACGCAAGUAUGAAACUUAAAGGAAUUGGCGGGGGAGCACCACAAGGGGUGAAGCCUGCGGUUCAAUUGGAGUCAACGCCGGGA
rnacentral:rRNA from 1 species